UACCCCAAACAGGCAUACCAUGAGUAUGUCGGUUCCAAAACACCUGAGAAGAGUUAGCUUAAUCAACCUCUGACUGGUUACCCAGAGUUAAUGCGCGUGCACGGUGCAUGUAUAAAGACAUUUUCAAUGGAUCGCCGAUUUCACGAGUCACCAUGGAAACUCAAAGCGAAAAAAAGAGAGCGGCGUAUUUCACAGAGGCGGAGUUGGAAGUUUUAAUGCAUGCUUAUGAGGAGUUUAAGCCAAUAAUAUUAAAAAGAAGCAAUACAGCUGCAUCGGCUAAAGCAAGAGAGUUGGCUUGGCAAAAAAUAACGGACAGAGUAAAUGCGUGAGUGUAUUAAAUUACAAAUUUGGUAUUGGCUCCCGUUUUAUUGAAAUGCAAAAUAAUGAAGUAUGACUUAUACAUACUUUUGAAUAUGUUAAAUCACUAUGAAAGCAUUUACUUUUCCUGCCAUUUUAUUUCUUUAGCUUGAAAUAAUAAUGUAUAUUUCUUAUUUAAUAAGGUGUAAUCCUUCUGGAGCCACAAGAACUUUAAGCCAAGUCAAAAUGAAACACAAAAACAUUCUGCAAAAAGCUAACAGAAAAAAGACUGAAGCCCGUCUAACUGGCGGGGGGCCACCACCACCUCCCCUCACCCCAUCUGAGGAGCUGGCUCUGUCCCUUAAUAAAGGGCGACCAGUGGUUGCUGGCAUUCCAGGGGGCACUUCAUCACACAUACUAUGCACCACAAGUGAUGGUUAGAAAAGGGUGACAUAUACUGAUGGACAGAUUGUAUUAUUGGACUCUCCAGAAAGAACACAGUCUGUCACAGUUGAUGAAGAUGAUGAUGACGAUGAAGAGACCACAUCUGCUGUGACAGAAGUGGACAAUGCUGGUAGAUCCACUGAGUACAUACCUAGGGAUCUGCCCACAGAUGAGGGUCCUUCAGCCUCAGCACACAAUCUAAGCAGGGUAAGAAUUUGUGUCCAUGUGUCCAUAUUUUAAUUUUAUUGUCUGACCAAACAAUCUCAUUUAUUACAUUUUUCCACCUUAGUUGCCAGCAAAGGAGCUGUAUAAGGUCCAUCUUCAAAAACAAAUAAGAAAAAGUGACAUGGAGAUGGACCUUAUACAGCUUCAAAUGGAAGAGAAAAGGCUCCUCAUUAAAAAAGCAGCACUUGAAAUAGAAUUACUUGAGAAUCGCCUUAAGGAAAUGAAGAAAUAAACUGCCUGGCAGACCAGUGCAAAAAAAACUAAUAAAAGUA